rnacentral:rRNA from 1 species
UUUAAGUAUUUUUUUUUUAUUAUUAUUAAUUUAUUUAUAGUUAUUAAAUUAAUUUAGUUUUUUUACUGAAAAGGUUAAUUUAUAAUAAUUUUAAAAUAAUUUUUAGUACCUUUUGUAUCAGGGUGAUUUUAAUAAUUAAUUUAAUUUUUAUUUUCGAAGUUUAAAUAUUUAGUUUGUAAUUUAUUUUUAUGUUUUAUAAUUAUUUAAAAUUUCAUACUAGUAGUGAUAUGCUAUUCGUUUUUUUUGAUAUCUAGUUUUUUAGGAUUUAAUUUAAUUAUAGAUUAAUGUUAUUUUGUUUUAUAUUUUUUUUAUUAAUCGUAUAAAAUUUGGGAUAAGCUAAUUUUUUAUUUAAAAUUUAUUUUAAAUUAAUUUUUAUUUAUUUUUAAAUCUUUUUUUAAGUUCGUAAUAGAUUAAAAUUUUUUUAUGAAAUUUUAUUAAAUUUAUAUUUUUACUAAGAUAAUUAAUUAAAUUAUUAUAAUAUUAAAAUAAUGAUUUAAUAAGUAUAAUUAAAAUUUAAUUUAAAAUGAAUUCGACAAAUAUAAUUUUCAACUGUUUAUCAAAAACAUUUCUUUUAGUAAAUUUUUAAAAGUACAUUCUGCCCUAUGAUAAUUUAAAUGGCUGCAGUAUUUUAACUGUGCAAAGGUAGCAUAAUAAUUAGUUAAUUAAUUGUUAACUGGAAUGAACGAAUAAAUGAGAGAUUUAUUUUAUUUAUUUUAUUUUUAGAAUUUUAUUUUUUGGUAAAAAAGCUUAAAUUUUUUUUUUGGGACGAUAAGACCCUAAAGAAGUUUAUUAAAAUAUUUUAUUUUAAAAUUUUGGUAAAUAAUUUUUAAUUUAAUUUAUUUUUUUUUAAUUGGGGUGAUUAAUAAGUAUAUCUUUAUUUUUUUGUAUCAUUAUUUUAUGAUUUUUUUGAUCCUUUAUAAGAUUAUAAGAUUAAGUUACCUUAGGGAUAACAGCGUAAUUUCAAUGGGGAGUUCAUAUUUAUAUUGGAGUUUGCGACCUCGAUGUUGAAUUAAGGUUAUAAAGAGGGGUAGGUUUUUCUUUUUUAAGUCUGUUCGACUUUUAAAUUCUUACAUGAUUUGAGUUCAAACCGGUGUAAGCCAGGUUGGUUUCUAUCUUAAAAUUGUUAAUAUUAUUUAGUACGAAAGGACCAAUAAUUUCAAUUUUGAUUGUUAAUAUUAUGGUUAAUUUU